rnacentral:lncRNA from 1 species
UUUUCGGGUCAAACUUUAUGGGAUUUUGGGUCUUCAAAAUCCCAAUUUUGGGGAUUUAUGGGAUUUUGGAGAUUUAUGGGAUUUUGAGGCUUCGGAAUAUCAUUUUUUGGGUCCAACUUUAUGGGAUUUCGGGUCUUCAGAAUCCCAUUUUUGGGUCCAACUUUAUGGGAUUUUGGGUCUUUGGAAUCCCCAUUUUUGGGUCCAACGUUAUGGGAUUUCGGGUCUUCGAAAUCCCAAUUUUGGGGAUUUAUGGGAUUUUGGAGAUUUAUGGGAUUUCGAGGCUUCGGAAUAUCAUUUUUUGGUCAAAAUUUAUGGGAUUUCGGGUCUUCGGAAUCCCAUUUUCGGCUCAAACUUUAUGGCAUUUCGGGUCUUCGGAAUCCCCAUUUUUGAAUCCAACUUUAUGGGAUUUUGGGUCUUUUUGGGGUGGGAUUUGGGGUCUUUUUUGCUCACCCGACUCUUCGGCCUCGGAGGAGUAAUCCUCGUCGCUGUCCUCCUCCUCUUCCUCGUAGUCCUCCUCAGAGGGGUUGAAGGUCUCAUCCUCCAUCUCCGACUCCGACUCCCCCACCUCCGCCUCGCUGCCCUAAAACGGCCCCAAAACGACCCCAAAUUCGACCCCAAAUGGCCCUAAAAUGGCCCUAUAGGGUUCUGGUGGGUCCAAUGGGGUCAAAUGGACCCAAAGUGGCCCUAAAAUGGCCCCAAUGGGGUCAAAAUGGCACCCGAGUGGCCCCAAAAGAACUCCGAUGGGUUCCACUGCCAACAAUGGCCCCAAAACGACCCCAAAUGGCCCCCAAAGGACCCCAAAUUCGACCCCAAAUGGCCCUAUAGGGUUCUGGUGGGCCCAAUGGGGUCAAAUGAACCCCAAGUGGUCCCAAUGGGGUCAAAAUGGCACCAGAGUGGCCCCAAAGGAUCUCCUAUGGGUUCCAGUGUCACCAAUGGCCCCAAAAUGGCCCCAGAACGACCCCAAAUUCAACCCCAAACGGCCCUAAAAUGGCCCUAUAGGGUUCUGGUGGGCCCAAUGGGGUCAAAUGGACCCAAAGUGGCCCCAAUGGGGUCAAAAUGGCACCCGAGUGGCCCCAAAAGAACUCCGAUGGGUUCCACUGCCAACAAUGGCCCCAAAACGACCCCAAAUGGCCCCAAAAGGACCCCAAAUUCGACCCCAAACGGCCCUAAAAUGGCCCUAUAAGGUUCUGGUGGGUCCAAUGGGGUCAAAUGGACCCAAAAUGGCCCCAAUGGGGUCAAAAUGGCACCCGAGUGGCCCCAAAAGAACUCCGAUGGGUUCCGCUGUCAACAAUGGCCCC